rnacentral:tRNA from 1 species
GGAGAGGUGCCUGAGUGGUUGAAAGGGGCGGUCUCGAAAACCGCUGUUCCGAUUUCGGAACCCAGGGUUCGAAUCCCUGCCUCUCCG